rnacentral:rRNA from 1 species
AUACGGAGGGUCCAAGCGUUAUCCGGAAUCAUUGGGUUUAAAGGGUCCGCAGGCGGUCAAUUAAGUCAGAGGUGAAAGCCCAUCGCUCAACGAUGGAACUGCCUUUGAUACUGGUUGACUUGAGUUAUACGGAAGUAGGUAGAAUAAGUAGUGUAGCGGUGAAAUGCAUAGAUAUUACUUAGAAUACCGAUUGCGAAGGCAGUCUACUACGUAUAUACUGACGCUGAGGGACGAAAGCGUGGGGAGCGAACAGGAUUAGAAACCCGAGUAGUCC